AGUGAACGCUGGCGGUAGGCCUAACACAUGCAAGUCGAACGGCAGCACAGUAAGAGCUUGCUCUUACGGGUGGCGAGUGGCGGACGGGUGAGGAAUACAUCGGAAUCUACUUUUUCGUGGGGGAUAACGUAGGGAAACUUACGCUAAUACCGCAUACGACCUACGGGUGAAAGCAGGGGAUCUUCGGACCUUGCGCGAUUGAAUGAGCCGAUGUCGGAUUAGCUAGUUGGCGGGGUAAAGGCCCACCAAGGCGACGCUCCGUAGCUGGUCUGAGAGGAUGAUCAGCCCCCCUGGAACCGGAACACGGUCCAGACUCCUAAGGGAAGCAGCAGGGGGGAAUAUUGGACAAUGGGCGGAAACCUUGUCCAACCAAACCGGGGUGGGUGAGAAGGGCUUCGGGGUGUUAAGCCCCUUUGUUGGGAAAGAAAAGCAGCAGGUUAAUACCCCGCUGUUCUGACGGUACCCAAAGAGUAAGCACCGGCUAACUUCGUG
rnacentral:rRNA from 1 species